rnacentral:rRNA from 1 species
GACGAACGCUGGCGGCGUGCUUAACACAUGCAAGUCGAACGGAAAGGCCCUGCUUUUGUGGGGUGCUCGAGUGGCGAACGGGUGAGUAACACGUGAGUAACCUGCCCUUGACUUUGGGGUAACUUCAGGAAACUGGGGCUAAUACCGGAUAGGAGCUCCUGCUGCAUGGUGGGGGUUGGAAAGUUUCGGCGGUUGGGGAUGGACUCGCGGCUUAUCAGCUUGUUGGUGGGGUAGUGGCUUACCAAGGCUUUGACGGGUAGCCGGCCUGAGAGGGUGACCGGCCACAUUGGGACUGAGAUACGGCCCAGACUCCUACGGGAGGCAACAGUGGGGAAUAUUGCACAAUGGGCGGAAGCCUGAUGCAGCAACGCCGCGUGCGGGAUGACGGCCUUCGGGUUGUAAACCGCUUUCGCCUGUGACGAAGCGUGAGUGACGGUAAUGGUAAAGAAGCACCGGCUAACUACGUG